UCAAGUCCGAAGGCCAUCUGCUGAAGAAUUCUUUCCUUUUGGAGGAGGUGAGUCUUUUGUUCUCUUCAGGUCUUCAAUUGAUCGGAUGAGGCCCACCCACGUUGUGGAGCACAGUCAGCUUUACUUGUACACUGAUGGAAAUGUUACUCUCAUCCAAUGACCCCCUCACAGAAACAUCCAGAAAAUGUUUGACCAAAUAUCUGGACACCAAAUACACAGAUACCGAGUAAUGAAAGUAAUAAUAAUAGGCAUUUUUAUUUCGCUCUUCUUCCUAUGUGUUAGGUACCUCACGAAGCAUUCUACAAACAUCAUUUCAAUGAAUUGUCAUACAACUGCUUCUGCUAAGUGCUACUAUUAUGUUAUUUUUAUAAAUGAGGAAGUAACACUAAAGGAAAUUAAACUUUAAAGAGGUUUGUCUAAGGCUAUACAGCUAAUAGACAGUAGAGCUAGGACAUGAACCCAGUUUACGUGGUUCCAAAGCCAUGUUCUUAACAAACAAGCUAUACGCCACUUCUAGGCUACCAAUUUGUUUGCCACACUUUGGCAAACAAAUUUUUAGCAGAAUACUCUGCUAAAAAAAUCCUGGGUGAAAGAAUCCUGAAUUGGGAAUCAGGAGACAUUGCUUCUUUUAUUUUUUUUUUCAUUAAACACUAUUGAGCUAAAACUGUUGGAAGUAUAUUAUGCUCAGGAGAUACCAAGACCAAAUCAACUUCGGUGGGAGUUCAGAGAAAUAUGCAAUGUGCUAAAUUCUGCAUGGGGUAAGUAGGGUCACCUAACCCAGUCCUGGAGGACCAUCCAAGUUGAACAUUGAGGGCAGAGUAGGCAUGAGCUACAUGGACCGAGCUGGAAGAACAUGCAACAGAAUAGCGAGGACUCAGUUUUCUCACUGGUAAAACGAAGGAUAGAACUAAAAAAUAUCUAAGGUCCGUCCUGUAUUAGCUUUUUAUUGUUACCAUAACAAAUUACCGCAAAGUUAGCAGCUGGAACAAAGCAAAUUUAUUAUCAUUCAGUUCCAAAGGUUAAAAGUCUGACACAGGCCUCACUGGACUUAAAUCAAGGAAUUAUCCGCCAGGCUGUGUUUUUUUCUGGAAGCUCCAGAGAGAAUACUUUUCCUUUCUCCUUUAGGAUGUUUGGAAGAAUUCAGUUUCUUGCAGUUGUAGGACUGAGACCCUGUUUUCUUGCUGGCUGUCAUCUGAGGGCAGUUCCCAGGUUCUUGAGGCCACCGCAUUUCUUGGUUUAUGGUCAUCUUCCUCCAUCUUCACAGUCAGCCACACAUGCGAACACCAAGGACAUACAGCUCUUUGGGAAGCGUUGAAUGGAAAUAUUCUCCUUCCGCCCUCACUGGCUGAAUCGUGAGCUGUGUCUCGGGUCCUAGAAAUGAAGCGCUGCCCGGGCACGCAUGCGCACGACUGGAGCGCUGAAGGGGACUGUGCGACCUGUGAAAACUCUGUGUGCCACUCUGCAAACGAGUUAAUUACUCCUGACGGAGCAGGGCUUUCGAGGCGCUGUGUGAAAUUAAUGAAAAGCACUGCGAAGCAUUCACACGGAGGGGCUCUUUCCUUCAUUAGGGCCGCUGCUCACAGAGGACAUGAUCGCAUGGGAUCACUCACCUUUCCCCGUGAAAUCAGGUUGUGGGGGCCUGUGCGGUGCUCAGCGUGCGGCUUCCUCCUAGGCCACCACAUUUCACAGAACGUUCAAUAAAGUCUGCUUUUAGGAGCACAUCACUGCUCUUCUAGGGCUUCACUC